rnacentral:misc_RNA from 1 species
GCAAACUUGGUCAUUUAGAGGAAGUAAAAGUCGUAACAAGGUCUCCGUAGGUGAACCUGCGGAGGGAUCAUUACCGAGUGAGGGUCCUCGUGGCCCGACCUCCAACCCCUUGAUUUCAAACCUCUGUUGCCUCGGGGGUGACCCGGCCCCGUCGGGGCCCCCGACGGCCCAUCAGACUCUGCAUUUUUGCGUCGGAUGUGAAUAGAAAAUUGAUGAAAAACUUUCAACAACGGAUCUCUUGGUUCUGGCAUCGAUGAAGAACGCAGC